rnacentral:rRNA from 1 species
GACGAACGCUGGCGGCGUGCUUAACACAUGCAAGUCGAACGGAAAGGCCCUGCUUUUGUGGGGUGCUCGAGUGGCGAACGGGUGAGUAACACGUGAGUAACCUGCCCUUGACUUUGGGAUAACUUCAGGAAACUGGGGCUAAUACCGGAUAGGAGCUCCUGCUGCACGGUGGGGGUUGGAAAGUUUCGGCGGUUGGGGAUGGACUCGCGGCUUAUCAGCUUGUUGGUGGGGUAGUGGCUUACCAAGGCUUUGACGGGUAGCCGGCCUGAGAGGGUGACCGGCCACAGUGGGACUGAGAUACGGCCCAGACUCCUACGGGAGGCAGCAGUGGGGAAUAUUGCACAAUGGGCGGAAGCCUGAUGCAGCAACGCCGCGUGCGGGAUGACGGCCUUCGGGUUGUAAACCGCUUUCGCCUGUGACGAAGCGUGAGUGACGGUAAUGGGUAAAGAAGCACCGGCUAACUACGUG